AGAACGCAGCGAAAUGCGCUAAUUAAUGUGAAUUGCAGAAUUCAGUGAAUCAUCGAGUCUUUGAACGCACAUUGCGCCCCCUGGUAUUCCGGGGGGCAUGCCUGUCCGAGCGUCAUUGCUGCCCUCAAGCACGGCUUGUGUGUUGGGCUUCCGUCCCUGGCAACGGGGACGGGCCCAAAAGGCAGUGGCGGCACCAUGUCUGGUCCUCGAGCGUAUGGGGCUUUGUCACCCGCUCCCGUAGGUCCAGCUGGCAGCUAGCCUCGCAACCAAUCUUUUUAACCAGGUUGACCUCGGAUCAGGUAGGGAUACCCGCUGAACUUAAGC
rnacentral:misc_RNA from 1 species